UGAUGAAGUGCCAGAUAGGAUGGGAAUGGAAGAUAUCGUGGAAGCCAACUAUGAGUUUGCAAGCUUUGCCUUCUUGAGGAUGGAGGAUCGCUGUAGAGGAGGAAACAAAGCUGGAGGGUCACAUACCAGCUCUUCAAUCCUUGGCCUAGAAUUCACACCUGCUAUUCCCACUCCCAGGCCAUUGGCCAGAAGAACUAGUCACAGAGCCAUGCCUGUAUUUAAGCAACAGCGAAAUGUUAAGCAUGUGGGGAGCAGUAUAUGCCUCCGCCACCCUGGCUGAGAGUGUGUGUCAAUAAACCUUCUUGGAUAAA
ensembl:lncRNA HAO2-IT1 HAO2 intronic transcript 1